CCUACGGGAGGCAGCAGUGGGGAAUAUUGCACAAUGGGCGCAAGCCUGAUGCAGCAACGCCGCGUGAAGGAAGACGGUUUUCGGAUUGUAAACUUCUGUUCUUAGUGAAGAAUAAUGACGGUAGCUAAGGAGCAAGCCACGGCUAACUACGUGCCAGCAG
rnacentral:rRNA from 1 species